GCAGUUUCCUCUAUUAAAUCCAGUCACGCAGCAGGUUCUUUUGCCACUCAGUCCAGCUGAGGGAGCGUGUUCUGGCGGGAAAGUGACGUUUAUGUAUACCGGAGCUUCUAACGGCCGCUGCGGUGACGCAAUGACAUAUCAAUCGGUGAUUGGCUCUUAUUUAGAAGGCGGGACCGGGCGGGCACUUUCUCCCAUUCAUACGAGAGCACCGUCUUUUAUUGUCUAAUAAUUCAACGGCCCCUCGUCAAUACGGUUUUACGGUUUACUAUAAUCUGUUGUUCAGAAGAAAAUUAAAAAGGUGCUCAAAUCCCAAGUUUGCGAUCGGAGAUCAUCAUCUGAUCGAAGGACGGAUCACUCACCUGAGCUGGGAACCGGUUCUGCGUCACCGUGAGGACGAGCCUGAAAACAUAAGCCCCAGUUUCGACUUUAUGCCAAACUUCUGUUCGAAACGACAUGAGGUGUAACUAUAAAUCCUCCAGAAUCCGCUCAGACACAUUCUUCGAAGAAGACGUGUUUCCCUGGCAUGAUCACGUCUGGGUUAUCGCAGCCACAGAGAACAAUCACUAUGAGGCACUUUAUACAUCCUGAACCAAUCAAGCGUGGCCUCCAGGUAUCCGGGCUUGAGUCGUCGGACGUCGUCGAUAUCUGUGAAUGACAGAACUCGCUGAGAUUUAACGUCAUACUAAUUACAGAUGCAGAAGAUAUCGAUGGGAUCGUUAUCGCCGCAGCAGCCCGUGUCUCCGUCCCUGUGCCCUGGAUCCUCCCAUGUCUGGAAAAGAUGAGAAAUAAACUGUCCAUUCAUUCAGCAUUUCUGAGCAUGUCAUUUAUAUGGAUGCACACACUGAUGUGACUGAGAAAAUCCAGCUACUGAACAAAUCCUUCAGGACUCCAAAAGCUUUGAAUUUAAUCUACACUCUUGGAAGGAAAGGUUUUAUAUAGAGCUUGGUAAUUGAAGACGGGGGCGGAGCUUUAACAGCUCGACAACAACAAAGCUGGAGAAUCUCAC